GGGAUCGUGGAGGCCAUCCAUGGCACCCCGGCCAGGUGCCGGUCAUCCACGACCUUCCCCAUAGUCUACAAGACCCUGGCGCCCCUCCCCCAAACCCUAAUCCCCUCCCUAGCUGCCCCUAGAUCCGUUUCCCCUCUCCCUCACUCGUCCUCUUCUCCACAGCGAUCGCAGUCACAGCUGUUGCCACGGCUUUGCCGUCCUCAUGGCCGUCGUCGUCCCCGCGUUGAGCUAGGACGUCCUGGGGCUUCACCACCAUCGCCUCCUUUGUCUACGCUAUUGGGUUGGACCGGGGAGGCCUCGUAUGCCCGCCAUCACCGUCGUCCCCGUCGCGUACAUCUCCGGGCGUCAUCGUCGAUUCCGACCGCUCCAGUCCACCCCCGGCCUCCUCGACCGCGCCCCCGAGCUCACUACCCCGAGACGGCUGCCGAUGCCACUAUGUUCGACUACGUCACCGACGACCCUCCUUGUCUGAGCAACCAG
rnacentral:rRNA from 1 species